AUUGAACGCUGGCGGCAGGCCUAACACAUGCAAGUCGAGCGGAUGAAGGGAGCUUGCUCCUGGAUUCAGCGGCGGACGGGUGAGUAAUGCCUAGGAAUCUGCCUUGUAGUGGGGGAUAACGUCCGGAAACGGGCGCUAAUACCGCAUACGUCCUGAGGGAGAAAGUGGGGGAUCUUCGGACCUCACGCUAUCAGAUGAGCCUAGGUCGGAUUAGCUAGUUGGGGGGGUAAAGGCCUACCAAGGCGACGAUCCGUAACUGGUCUGAGAGGAUGAUCAGUCACACUGGAACGGAGACACGGUCCAGACUCCUACGGGAGGAAGAAGUGGGGAAUUUGGGAAAAUGGGCGAAAGCCUGAUACAGCCAUGCCGCGUGUGUGAAGAAGGUCUUCGGAUUGUAAAGCACUUUAAGUUGGGAGGAAGGGCAGUAAGUUAAUACCUGGCUGUUUUGACGUUACCAACAGAAUACGCACCGGAUAACUUCG
rnacentral:rRNA from 1 species